UACGUAGGGUGCGAGCGUUGUCCGGAAUUAUUGGGCGUAAAGAGCUCGUAGGCGGUCUGUCGCGUCGGUCGUGAAAACUUGGGGCUUAACCCUGAGCUUGCGGUCGAUACGGGCAUGACUGGAGUUCGGCAGGGGAGACUGGAAUUCCUGGUGUAGCGGUGAAAUGCGCAGAUAUCAGGAGGAACACCGGUGGCGAAGGCGGGUCUCUGGGCCGAUACUGACGCUGAGGAGCGAAAGCGUGGGGAGCGAACGG
rnacentral:rRNA from 1 species